UACGAAGGGUGCAAGCGUUAUUCGGAAUCACUGGGCGUAAAGCGCACGUAGGCGGCUUUCUAAGUCAGGGGUGGAAAUCCUGGAGCUCAACUCCAGAACUGCCUUUGAUACUGGAGAGCUUGAGUCCGGGAGAGGUGAGUGGAACUCCGAGUGUAGAGGUGAAAUUCGUAGAUAUUAGGAAGAACACCAGUGGCGAAGGCGGCUCACUGGUCCGGUACUGACGCUGAGGUGCGAAAGCGUGGGGAGCAAACAGG
rnacentral:rRNA from 1 species